rnacentral:rRNA from 1 species
AUUGAACGCUGGCGGAAUGCUUUACACAUGCAAGUCGAACGGCAGCACGGACUUCGGUCUGGUGGCGAGUGGCGAACGGGUGAGUAAUGUAUCGGAACGUGCCCAGUCGUGGGGGAUAACGUAGUGAAAAUUACGCUAAUACCGCAUACGAUCUAUGGAUGAAAGCGGGGGACCGCAAGUCCUCGCGACAUUGGAGCGGCCGAUAUCAGAUUAGGUAGUUGGUGGGGUAAAGGCCCACCAAGCCAACGAUCUGUAUCUGGUCUGAGAGGACGACCAGCCACACUGGAACUGAGACACGGUCCAGACCCCUACGGGAGGCAGCAGUGGGGAAUUUUGGACAAUGGGCGAAAGCCUGAUCCAGCCAUUCCGCGUGCAGGAUGAAGGCCCUCGGGUUGUAAACUGCUUUUGUACAGAACGAAAAGGUUUCUACUAAUACUAGGAGCUCAUGACGGUACUGUAAGAAUAAGCACCGGCUAACUACGUGCCAGCCGCCGCCGUAA